UACGUAGGAGGCAAGCGUUGUCCGGAAUUACUGGGCGUAAAGGGCGCGUAGGCGGCCUUCUAAGUCGAACGUGAAAUCCCCGGGCUCAACCCGGGAACUGCGUCCGAUACUGGAAGGCUUGAAUCCGGGAGAGGGAUGUGGAAUUCCAGGUGUAGCGGUGAAAUGCGUAGAUAUCUGGAGGAACACCGGUGGCGAAGGCGACAUCCUGGACCGGUAUUGACGCUGAGGCGCGAAAGCCAGGGGAGCAAACGGG
rnacentral:rRNA from 1 species